GGAAGCAGAGGGAGGGUGAAUUCUCUGCAUCUGGCACGUCCAUCUUCUCCUGCCCUUGAACAACAGAACUUUUGGGUCUUGGCCUUUUCGACUUGGGGACUCAUACCAACAGCGUCCCUGUUCUCAGGUCUGGAGGACUCAGACUAAGCUCCACCACUGGCUUUCCUGCAUCUCCAGUUUGCAGACAACAGACCCAGGGACUUCUCAAUCUCUAUAACCAUGCUCAAACAAGGUGCAUUGGCUGAGGAUGCACCAAGCGAUGGACAGUGUGGCAUUCUCAGAAUGAUGGAUCCCGAUGACUACUGCUGCACCAGGGUAGUUGACCUCCUGCCAAGGCCUUCCCACAAGCUUUUCACUAGAGGACAAGCAUCAUCUAUGAACCCUCGCCUGGGCAGGAUCCAAGCCAUGGUGCUCACAGUGACAUCAGCUUCCCUGUCACACCUCAGGAAGGCCCUGUGAGCUCCGGCUGUGAACCCACGGGACCCCUCACUGGAGAGUGAGUGUCAUGCGAGUUCUCCUUCCACCCGGCCACCCCAAAGCCUCAUCAUUGCCACAAGCCACACUUCGGGAUUGGCAAAGGAGCCCCAGUCAUGAGACUCUGGUUCCCCAUGUGCAUUGUCUGGUCAAAA